rnacentral:lncRNA from 1 species
UUUUGAAGUGGUGAUAGUUGUAUAAUAUGACAAUGCUUGUCCUGUAGAGCUGAAAUUUGGGGACAUGUUUUCCGUUGUUCUUGGAAAUUGUAUACUGUAUCAUAUGCAUUAGGAUACACUAUACAGACAAAAAUUGAGAAGAGUCUCUCUCUCUCUCUCUGCUUGAUCUCAAUCUCAGUAGUAUGAAGUUGAAGAUUGUCUUUUUGUUGUUUGUUUGUUUGUGUUUUCUCAUUCCCUUUAUCCUUAUCGUUAAUCAAUAUACCAUGUCGAUUUCCUCCUGAAAUGCUGUUUGGGCUUCUUAUGGAAAUCAGUUUUAUGAUUAACUGAAGUAUGCAGGACUUGUUAUUUCUCUUUCUUCUUAUCCCUAUCCUUAAUCAAUUUAUCAUUUGAACUUCUCUUGAAAUGGCAUAUGCGCUUGUUUCUGAAAUCGAUUUAUAAUUGACAUGUCAAAUUUUGAAUGUUUUUUGUGCUUAAAUAAAUUUAGAAAACUUUGAAUACAUACCUUUGAAAUUUAUGAUGAUUGCCUUUUUUCUGUAUCUGUCCUUGAAGUCAUGCCUGAUAGAAAUGAAAAAUGUUUUUUGUCGCAUAUCGGUAACUCUUUUGGUCCACGGAGUAAGUCAGUUGUUUUCUG